CCUACGGGAGGCAGCAGUGAGGAAUAUUGGUCAAUGGGCGCGAGCCUGAACCAGCCAAGUCGCGUGAGGGAAGACGGUCCUAUGGAUUGUAAACCUCUUUUGUCGGGGAGCAAAAGACGCCACGCGUGGCGUUCCGAGAGUACCCGAAGAAAAAGCAUCGGCUAACUCAGUGCCAGAAGCCGCGGUAAUACGGAGGAUGCGAGAGUUAUCCGGAGUUAUUGGGUUUAAAGGGUGCGCAGGCGGAAUUUCAAGUCAGAGGUAAAAUUAAGAGGCUCAACCUCGUCGAGCCGUUGAGACUGGUUAUCUUGAGUGAGUGAGAAGUAUGCGGAAUGCGUGGUGAAGCGGUGAAAUGCAUAGAUAUCACGCAGAACACCGAUUGCGAAGGCAGCAUACCGGCGCUCAACUGACGCUGAUGCACGAAAGUGUGGGUAGCGAACAGGAUUAGAUACCCUUGUAGUC
rnacentral:rRNA from 1 species